GUCCGGGCAAUAUUAUCUCCGUUGCCAAUUGCCUCAAAAAUGGGCUGAAGGAAGCUUAUCAAGGCAUCCGCUGUUGACAGACCUUUACGGGCAUACUCUGGUAUUUAUCAUUCUUCCCAUCUGUGGUAGAACUUGUACAAAACAAACCUCCAUCACUUUCGCCAGGGUGCUUCGUAAGCGAUAUCGGGCGUAGAUCGUUUUCAGUUGUUUGCGAGGGGUUUUCGUUUGGUAUGGGAGAUAUAAUGGAGCGUCUUAAUAGUUGGGGGCAUAGCC